AGAGUUUGAUCCUGGCUCAGAACGAACGCUGGCGGCAGGCUUCAUACAUGCAAGUCGAGCGAUUAAAGCCCCUUCGGGGGUGUAUAAAGCGGCGAACGGGUGAGUAACAGGUGGGUAAUCUACCUUUCGGUGGGGGACAACGGUUGGAAACGGCCGCUAAUACCACAUGUGGUUCUUGAAACACAAGUUUCGAGAAAGAAAGGCGCGUUUGCGCCGCCGAAAGAUGGGCCCGCCCCCCAUUAGCUUGUUGGUGUGAUCACAGCGCACCAAGGCAACGAUGGGUAGCCGAGCUGAGAGGUUGAUCGGCCACACUGGGACUGAGAUACGGCCCAGACACCUACGGGUGGCAGCAGUAGGGAAUAUUGCGCAAUGGGCGAAAGCCUGACGCAGCCAUGCCGCGUGGAUGAUGAAGGCCUUCGGGUCGUAAAGUCCUUUUCUGAGGGAAGAACAAGCGGGGUAGGAAAUGCCCCCGCCCUGACGGUACCUCAGGAAUAAGCAACGGCAAACUCCGUGCCAGCAGCCGCGGUAAUACGGAGGUUGCAAGCGUUGUUCGGAAUAACUGGGCGUAAAGGGGGCGCAGGCGGUUUGAUCAGUCUGAAGUGGAAGCCCGGGGCUCAACCCCGGAAGGCCUUUGGAUACUGUCAGACUUGAGUUCGUGAGAGGAGAGUGGAAUUCCAGGUGUAGCGGUGAAAUGCGUAG
rnacentral:rRNA from 1 species